GACGAACGCUGGCGGCGUGCUUAACACAUGCAAGUCGAACGGAAAGGCCCUGCUUUUGUGGGGUGCUCGAGUGGCGAACGGGUGAGUAACACGUGAGUAACCUGCCCUUGACUUUGGGAUAACUUCAGGAAACUGGGGCUAAUACCGGAUAGGAGCUCCUGCUGCAUGGUGGGGGUUGGAAAGUUUCGGCGGUUGGGGAUGGACUCGCGGCUUAUCAGCUUGUUGGUGGGGUAGUGGCUUACCAAGGCUUUGACGGGUAGCCGGCCUGAGAGGGUGACCGGCAACAUGGGAAUGGGGUACGGGCCAGAACCCUUCGGGGGGCAAGAGGGGGGAAUAUUGGCAAAUGGGGGGAAGGCUGAAGGAGCAACCGCGGGGGCGGGAAGAAGGCCUUUGGGGUGGAAACCGGUUUUGGCUGGGACGAAGCGGGAGUGACGGUAAUGGGUAAAGAAGGAACGGCUAACUUCGUU
rnacentral:rRNA from 1 species